UGGGGAAUAUUGGACAAUGGGCGCAAGCCUGAUCCAGCCAUGCCGCGUGGGUGAAGAAGGCCUUCGGGUUGUAAAGCCCUUUUGUUGGGAAAGAAAAGCACGGGGCUAAUACCCUUGUGUUCUGACGGUACCCAAAGAAUAAGCACCGGCUAACUUCGUGCCAGCAGCCGCGGUAAUACGAAGGGUGCAAGCGUUACUCGGAAUUACUGGGCGUAAAGCGUGCGUAGGUGGUGGUUUAAGUCUGCUGUGAAAGCCCUGGGCUCAACCUGGGAAUUGCAGUGGAUACUGGGUCACUAGAAUGUGGUAGAGGGUAGCGGAAUUCCUGGUGUAGCGGUGAAAUGCGUAGAGAUCAGGAGGAACAUCCAUGGCGAAGGCAGCUACCUGGACCAACAUUGACACUGAGGCACGAAAGCGUGGGGAGCAAACAGGAUUAGAUACCCUGGUAGUCCACGCCCUAAACGAUGCGAACUGGAUGUUGGGUGCAAUUUGGCACGCAGUAUCGAAGCUAACGCGUUAAGUUCGCCGCCU
rnacentral:rRNA from 1 species